CACUGAAACUGUAUUUCUGGCAUAUUUUCAAGAACUGUCAGAAACAUAUAGUCCGAAUUCUUUAUGGACUAAAUGGUCAAUGCUAAAAUCGAUGGUGACUAUACAUGAGAAACGAGAUAUCACCAAGUUCAAUGAACUACAGGCUUUUUUGAAACGGAAGAGUAAGAGUUAUAAGCCGAAAAAGUCUGCUGUUUUAUCUCCUAAAGAUGUUAUCAGAUUCCUAAAGGACGCUCCUAAUGAUAUUCAUUUAUUGCAUGAGAAAUUUUUUUCUUAUUUUCCUUUUUGUGUGUAUUUAUUUCCUUUUUUUUUGUUAUAGGUUGUUUUGAUUAUGGGUUAUUUUGGAGGGUGCAGAAGUCAGGAACUUUUGAAUAUGAAGAUAUCGGAUAUAGAGGACCGGGAUUCCGUUAUGGUAGUGAACGUACCGGAAAGUAAAACUGGUGUAUCGAAGAAAUUUACAGUUGUGGAUGAAAAAGAGUUCUCCGCUUUGCCUUUAUUAAGACUUUAUAUGUCUUUGCGUCCUAAAGGUAUUGAACGAUUUUUUUUGAGCUUCCGACAAAAUAAAUGUACAUCUCAGCCAAUUGGAAAAAACAUGUUUGGGAAAAUCCCCAGCAAAAUCGCAAUGUAUUUAGGAUUGCCAAAAUCAUCUUCCUAUACGGGACAUUGCCUUCGUCGCACUUCUGCUACUGCUCUAGCCAAUGCAGGAGCAACUAUGACUAACUUAAAAAGACACGGAGGUUGGAAAAGUUCCACGGUGGCGGAGGGGUAUUUGGAGGAUAGCAUCGAAUUGAGAAAUAAAACGGCGCGUAUGUUGUC